GUUCUCGUCAGAUCAUCAAAGUUAAGCAUCGUCGAGGCUGACUAGUACCGAGAUGGGUGACCUUUUGUAAAUAGCAGGUGCUGUAU